GGGCUUGGUUCAGCAGCAUAUAUAGUAAAAUUGGAAGGAUAGAGAAGAUUAAGAUGGUCCCUGAGCAAGGAUGACAUGCAAACUUGUGAAUUGUUCCAUUUAUUU
ensembl:snRNA U6 U6 spliceosomal RNA